rnacentral:rRNA from 1 species
AUGGAUCAGCAAGGCCAAACUUCUAUCGAUUCAGACGAUUCCAAGAUGGUUCAGCUGGCCAAUGGUCUGAGAGGUGAAUUAGACGCCCUACACUCACCACAGGCGCAGGUCGGCGACAAGCGCCCUCCUUGUCCCAUCAUCAUCGCCAAGGUCCGCGACCAGACGCGUAACGUCGACAACGGCGAGUAUGACCCCGACCACGUCGCCAUCGGCCCGUACAACUACCCUCGACCCCAGAGCAAGAGCCCGCAUCUCGCCAUGGAGCACGACAAGCUGAUGAGCCUGGACAUGGUGAUCACGGCAGCCAAGGCUCGGAGACCCGGCAUGACGGUGGAGGUGGACGUCUACGUCAAGGAGCUUGCACACCUCGAGGAAUCUGUGAGGAACUGCUACGGAAACACGUUUCCUGACAUGACGAGCGAGCAAUUCGUCCGCAUGCUCCUCCUAGACGGCUGCUACAUACUCUCCCGCCUCGUCAACCUCCAACUCGGAGCACAAGCCAUGGACGAUGCGGCUGGGACUGCAAAUGCAGGCGUCCUGUCAGCGAGCAGGGCCGAGGCGCUGGCCGUGGUUCGGGAUGUGUUCUACCUUGCAGAGAACCAGAUACCUUUUUUUGUCCUUGCAAAGAUUGGGGAGCUGACGGGUUUGGACGGUAACGAUCGUGUGAUUACACAGAUUGCCAAGUAUGCUCUCGCUCUCAUCAGGAGACAAAAGUACGCGGUAGCAGAUCUGGUCACGGUGCCGACGGAUCCAGGCAAUCUUCUCCAUCUUCUUCAUAUGCACUUGAAACCUGUGGCACCUACGAUCUCUUCUACUACAACGGCCAGCGGCGCCGACCCCGAGCCCGUGCGCAGGUGGCGCUCAGCGACAGAGUACUACUUCGCCGGGGUGAUGUUCAAGCGUCGAGACAUGAGCGAGACCGGAAACACGCGGUGCAUCCUCGACGUGAAGCUGAGCAGCGGCAGUGGCACGCUGGAGGUCCCCUGCUUGGACAUCGACGCCGAGACAUGGCGCCUUCUGCGCAACCUGAUGGAGCUGGAGCAGCGGAACCGGGAGACGGUGGGGAGCCACGUCACAGCGUACUGUGUGUUCAUGUCCCAGGUGGCCUGCACCACAAAGGAUGUGGAGCUGUUGAUGAAGAGAGGCGUCAUCGUGCAUGGCCAAGGCAACAAUGAUGAGGUGGCCAGAUGCUUUGCCGACCUCUGCAAGGGUAUUAUGUUUGACCCUAACGACCCCCGAUGCAACUAUCUGAGGGAGACAUGCUGCAAGCUGGAGAAGCGUUUCCUGAGCAACCCGCAGAGGUGGAUGGCGUGGCUGAGGCGCAAGUACUUCAACAACCCCUGGCUCGCCGUCGGGCUCCUAGCGGCUGCCAUUGGACUAGUUUGCGCUAUCGUCCAGGCUGUAUACUCUGUUUUGAGUUACAAGAAUGGAUGA